GUGAAUCAUCGAAUCUUUGAACGCAAGUUGCGCUUCCUGGCAUUCCGGGAAGUAUGCCUGUUUGAGGGUCAGUAUUAAUAAAAAUUCGGUUUGGUUGCAAAUUUCGUCGUUUCCGGAGGUUGGUCUAUCUUAAUUUUUUUAGUUAAGGGGCUUAAAAUUGACCUUAUUUUUGCAUUUUUAUACGUAAAUAAAUUUUUUUUUUAUUCGUCUAUUCUUAAUUCCAAAAUCUUAUUAUAAGCGAUCACACC
rnacentral:misc_RNA from 1 species